GCCGCUGUGGCGGAAUUGGCAGACGCAAGGGACUUAAAAUCCCUCGGUGGCAACAUCGUACCGGUUCGAUCCCGGUCAGCGGCACCA
rnacentral:tRNA from 1 species